GACGAACGCUGGCGGCGUGCUUAACACAUGCAAGUCGAACGGAAAGGCCCUGCUUUUGUGGGGUGCUCGAGUGGCGAACGGGUGAGUAACACGUGAGUAACCUGCCCUUGACUUUGGGAUAACUUCAGGAAACUGGGGCUAAUACCGGAUAGGAGCUCCUGCUGCAUGGUGGGGGUUGGAAAGUUUCGGCGGUUGGGGAUGGACUCGCGGCUUAUCAGCUUGUUGGUGGGGUAGUGGCUUACCAAGGCUUUGACGGGUAGCCGGCCUGAGAGGGUGACCGGCCACAUUGGGACUGAGAGACGGCCCAGACUCCUACGGGGGGCAGCAGUGGGGAAUAUUGCACAAUGGGCGGAAGCCUGAUGCAGCAACGCCGCGUGCGGGAUGACGGCCUUCGGGGUGUAAACCGCUUUCGCCUGUGACGAAGCGGGAGUGACGGUAAUGGGUAAAGAAGCACCGGCUAACUACGUG
rnacentral:rRNA from 1 species